GACGAACGCUGGCGGCGUGCUUAACACAUGCAAGUCGAACGGUAAGGCCCUUCGGGGUACACGAGUGGCGAACGGGUGAGUAACACGUGGGUGAUCUGCCCUGCACUUCGGGAUAAGCCUGGGAAACUGGGUCUAAUACCGGAUAGGACCACUGCCUACAUGGGUGGUGGUGGAAAGCUUUUGCGGUGUGGGAUGGGCCCGCGGCCCAUCAGCUUGUUGGUGGGGUGAUGGCCUACCAAGGCGACGACGGGUAGCCGGCCUGAGAGGGUGACCGGCCACACUGGGACUGAGAUACGGCCCAGACUCCUACUGGAGGCAGCAGUGGGGAAUAUUGCACAAUGGGCGCAAGCCUGAUGCAGCGACGCCGCGUGAGGGAUGACGGCCUUCGGGUUGUAAACCUCUUUCAGCACCGACGAAGCGCAAGUGACGGUAGGUGCAGAAGAAGGACCGGCCAACUACGUGCCAGCAGCCGCGGUAA
rnacentral:rRNA from 1 species